rnacentral:rRNA from 1 species
CCAGCGCUGAAUCGCUCAGUCUUAGGCUGCUGCGAAUUGUAGCGUAUAGGUCUAGUAUUUCCGUAGUGGUUGUUGCUCGAAGUCCCUUUGACAGGGGCCACAGUCCUGAGAGGGUGCAAGACCCGUCCGAGCACGGCCUCAGCGGAUAUCGCUGGUCCUUGGAGUCGGGUUGCUUGAAAGUGCAGCCUUAAGUCGGUGCUAAACUUCAUCUAAGGCUAAAUAUAGCUACGAAUUCGAUAGCAAACAAGUACCGUGAGGGAAAGUUGCAAAGAACUUUGAAGAGAGAGUUCAAGAGAACGUGAAAACACAUGAGUGGAAGCGGAAAGAGUUGACAUAACCCGGUAGCUAAGUUGUAUGUGCACGCUAUUGUGUGUACGUUAGAUGGAUGCUGCUUAUGGUUGCGCCGAUAGCGUCGGUGGUGCUUGCUGACCCGUGUAGUGUUGCCCACAUCUGUGGUGUCUUGCUUGCGGUUAGGUUAGUCACUGGUGGCGUUUAGCUCAGCUUUGCUGAGUAUCGGUGUGAACGUCAAUCACCUUUCCGGCCCGUCUUGAAACACGGACCGAGGAGUGUAACUUGUACGCGAGUCAGAGGGUGGCAAACCCAACGGCGAAAUUAACGUAAAGGUCGGUUAACCGACUGACAUAGGAUCCGGUUUACCGGCGCACUAUGGCCCUGUCUUGGAUGCUUGCAUCUGGGCAGAGGAAGAGCGUACAGGUUGCGACCCGAAAGAUGGUGAACUAUGCUUGAGCAGGACGAAGCCAGAGGAAACUCUGGUGGAAGUCCGUAUCGGUUCUGACGUGCAAAUCGAUCGAUAGACUUGAGUAUAGGGGCGAAAGACUAAUCGAACCAUCUAGUAGCUGGUUCCCUCCGAAGUUUCCCCCAGGAUAGCUGGAGCUUAAUCGUUGUUAUAUUCGGUAAAGCUAAUGAUUAGAGAACUUAGGGACUAAUAGUCCUUAACCUAUUCUCAAACUUUCAAUGAGUAUGAAGUCUCCGUUUCUUCAGUGAACGGUUGACAUGAAAACGAGCUCCAAGUGGGCCAUUUUUGGUAAGCAGAACUGGCGCUGCGGGAUGAACCGAACGUCGGGUUACGGCGCCUAACUAUUCGCUCAUGAGACCCCAUAAAAGGUGUUGGUUGAUAUAGACAGCAGGACGGUGGCCAUGGAAGUCGGUACCCGCUAAGGAGUGUGUAACAACUCACCUGCCGAAUCAACUAGCCCUGAAAAUGGAUGGCGCUAGAGCGAGUGGCCUAUACCCGACCGUUGCUGGCUUGUGCGUUGCCUAUCGCCUGGCCGCAACGAGUAGGAGGGUCGCGGCGGUGGCGUUGAAGGGUAUUCGUAGGAAUGCCUGGAGCCGCCGUCGGUGCAGAUCUCGGUGGUAGUAGCAAAUAUUCAAGUUCGAUCCUUGAAGACUGAAGUGGGGAAGGGUUCCACGUGAACAGUAGUUGAAUGUGGGUCAGUCGAUCCUAAGAUACUGGCUAAUGCCUUGUAUCAUCGAGAGGGAGAAGUUUACUUCUCUCUCGGAUAUCGAAAGGGAAUAGGGUUAAUAUUCCCUAACUCGCAUGUGGUGAUUUCGAGUCUUCGUGAUUCGAUUGCGCGGUAACGCUAUUGAACUUGGUAACGUCGUCCUAAGACCGAGCUAGAGUUUUCGUCUCUAGUUAAGGAACGGACUCCCUGGAAUCGGUUCACCCGGAGAUAGGGACGUUGUUUCCGUAAAGCACCGCGGUUUCUGCGGUGUCUCGUGCUCUUAGAACGGCCCUUGAAAAACCAAGGGAUGCUAUUAAGCCACAGCGAAUCGUACCCAUAUCCGCAUCAGGUCUCCAAGGUUUACAGCCUCUAGUCGAUAGAAUAAUGUAGGUAAGGGAAGUCGGCAAAUUAGAUCCGUAACUUCGGGAAAAGGAUUGGCUCCAGUGACCGGGCAGAUUGGCCUGUGUACUGACACUUGUGUGGUUACCGGUCGGACCGCUAGAAUUCGCGUUUUAGUGGACUGACUGGCGACUGUCUUGUGGACGUGUAUAGGUGUGUACUUUGUCUCCGGAUUUAGUAUCCUGAUCUGCCAUCUAAACGGUCGCACUGGAACUGGUACGGACUCGGGGAAUCCGACUGUCUAAUUAAAACAGAGGAGACAGAUGGUCCUUGCGGACGUUAACUGUCUCUGAUUUCUGCCCAGUGCUCUGAAUGUCAAUUCGUAGUAAUUCGAUUAAGCGCGGGUAAACGGCGGGAGUAACUAUGACUCUCUUAAGGUAGCCAAAUGCCUCGUCAUCUAAUUAGUGACGCGCAUGAAUGGAUUAACGAGAUUCCCACUGUCCCUAACUACUAUCUAGCGAAACCACAGCCAAGGGAACGGGCUUGGCAAAUACAGCGGGGAAAGAAGACCCUGUUGAGCUUGACUCUAGUUUGACAUUGUGAAGAAUCAUGAGAGGUGUAGCAUAGGUGGGAGACUUCGGUCGCCAAUGAAAUACCACCACUUUCAUCGAUUCUUUACUUAUUCGGUUAUUUGAGAAUUAGGCUUCGGCCUUUUAUUCUUGGUGUUAAGCACGAUCACCUGGUGAUUGUGUGACUCUCGCCGAAGACAUUGUCAGGCGGGGAGUUUGACUGGGGCGGUACAUCUGUCAAAUCGUAACGCAGGUGUCCUAAGGUUAGCUCAGAGAGGACAGAAACCUCUCGUAGAGCAAAAGGGCAAAAGCUCGCUUGAUCUUGACUUUCAGUAAUAGUACAGACCGCGAAAGCGUGGCCUAUCGAUCCUUUUAAUCCCAGAUUGUUUCUGGUAAGAGGUGUCAGAAAAGUUACCACAGGGAUAACUGGCUUGUGGCAGCCAAGCGUCCAUAGCGACGUUGCUUUUUGAUCCUUCGAUGUCGGCUCUUCCUAUCAUUGCGAAGCAGAAUUCGCCAAGCGUUGGAUUGUUCACCCACUAAUAGGGAACGUGAGCUGGGUUUAGACCGUCGUGAGACAGGUUAGUUUUAUCCUACUGUAAACGAAUUGUUUUGAUAGUAAUUCAUCUCAGUACGAGAGGAACAGAUGAUUCAAACAUUUGGUUCAUGGACUUGGUCGAUAGGCCAAUGGUCCGAAGCUACCAUUUGAGGGAUUAUAACUGAACGCCUCUAAGUUAGAAUCCCGCCUAGUCAUGAAAACAAUAACUUUGCUUCCCGGUGUCGGGAGGCAUCCUUAUCUCGUGGCAACACGAGAGCUUAUGCCCUAAUAGAUGGCCUGGCCGGAGAAGGGAAUCUUCUUCGGUUGCCAAAGCCAGAUCACUGGUUCAACGUCGGGGCGCAAAAUCACUUGUUUACGACUUGUUUACUAGUCAAGGUGUUGUAC